CAAUAGCGUAUAUUUACGUUGUUGCAGUUAAAAGCUCGUAGUUGGAUUUCGGAUGUGAACGACCGGUCCGCCGUUGCGGUGUGCACUGGACGUUUGUAUCUUGUUGACGGGGACGCGCUCCUGACCUUAACUGGGAGGGACGCGGAGUCGGCGCUGUUACUUUGAAAAAUUUAGAGUGUUCAAAGCAGGCAACCGCUCUGAAUACAUUAGCAUGGAAUAACGCUAUAUGACUCUGGUCCUAUUGUGUUGGUCUUCGGGACCGGAGUAAUGAUUAAGAGGGACAGUUGGGGGGCAUUCGUAUUUCAUUGUCAGAGGUGAAAUUCUUGGAUUUAUGAAAGACGAACUUCUGCGAAGCAUUUGCCAAGGAUGUUUUCAUUAAUCAAGAACGAAAGUUGGGGGCUC
rnacentral:rRNA from 1 species